GGGGCUGUAGCUCAGUGGAAGAGUGCUUGCCUGGCACGCAAGAGGCCCUGAGUUAGAUCCCCAGCAAAUCCU
rfam:Ictidomys tridecemlineatus contig042115, whole genome shotgun sequence.